AAUAAAUCUUUUGAAAACCAGAACUGAAUCAUUGUUUAUUUAUUUAACGAUAUAAGCAACGAUAUAAAUGCCCGACAAUUAUCAAAAUUGCUUACAAAGAGUCUUGACAGUAUUGUGAAAUUUUUUUUUUUAGCUGAAUUUCAUUACUAAAAAAAUCAAAAUGCGUUUGGCAGUUGUGUGUCUGCUGGUAAUUUUUGUGGUUUGUGUGGCAGCUAAGAGUCAUCAUCAUAAAAAAAAAAAAACAAGCGAUACUGCUCUCGCUAAUGUGCAUAAUCAUACAAAGAAAAAACACGGAACCAAAGGUAGCGUCAAGUCAACAAAUAAAGCUCAAAACGAAAUCCAAAGUAAAGUACAUGACGCUGGCGAUAGUGGUGUGAAUCGAUCUUCGAGUUCGUCCUCUCAAUCUUCUAAAAGUAGUUCUUCAGUAGACAAAAAUGGUAACAUUGUAACGGAUAGAUCGACUGUUGGUAAAAUUAUGACCGACGUAACAGGGGAUGGCACAGCUGGUGCAGAAACAAAGGGUACUGCUGAUGGAAAAGCUACAAAUAAUGAAGGUGGAGAAGCUUCUGGUGGCAUUGCACAAAGUGGUAAAAGCCUUACAGCAUAAGUGGAUGGAAGUCGUGUUUCUGGAGACGAUCUGGUCAAAAGUCAUAAUUUGAACUUUUGAUCCCAGGCUACGAAGGAGGCUGCGAAAACUAUUUAAUUAAUUUAUGUAAUUGAUCUCAUUGAACAGUUAAAUAAAUAAAAAUUUUAUAUUACA